UACAGAGGGUGCGAGCGUUGUCCGGAAUUACUGGGCGUAAAGCGUGCGCAGGCGGUUUUGUAAGCCAGAUGUGAAAUCCCCGGGCUUAACCUGGGAAUGGCAUUUGGGACUGCAAGGCUGGAGUGUGGCAGAGGAGACUGGAAUUCCCGGUGUAGCAGUGAAAUGCGUAGAUAUCGGGAGGAAUACCGAUGGCGAAGGCAGGUCUCUGGGCUGACACUGACGCUCAUGCACGAAAGCGUGGGGAGCAAACAGG
rnacentral:rRNA from 1 species